rnacentral:rRNA from 1 species
UACGGGGGGUGCGAGCGUUGUCCGGAAUCACUGGGCGUAAAGGGCGCGUAGGUGGCCUGAUAAGGGUGUGGUGAAAGUCCGGGGCUCAACCCCGGAUCUGCCGUGCCGACUGUUGGGCUGGAGUACUGUAGGGGCAGGCGGAAUUCCGGGUGUAGCGGUGAAAUGCGUAGAUAUCUGGAGGAACACCGGUGGCGAAGGCGGCAUCCUGGACCGGCAUUGACGCUGAGGCGCGAAAGCUAGGGGAGCAAACGGG